AAUCUCCCCAAGAACAACAACAAC
rnacentral:sRNA from 1 species